ACAUAACACUUCAGUAUUUCAGUAUAUUUCCAGAUGAUCACCAGGACAAACCUAGUUAACAUCCCUCACCAUACAUAGUUACAAAGCAUUGACUAGAGUCCUGGGAGCCUUCCUUCACAUGUCAAACUUUGCAACAAGCAGGACUUGCAUAAAGGGAAACACUGAAAUUGGGUUGCUUCUUAUCUGACUUCCCAGCCCGUUCUCUAAUUCCAUGCAGUAAGAGAUGUGAUUACUAGUUUUCAGCACCUCAUGCUGGGUAUCUCUGUUGGGACAUAUGCAUGAAGAAAUUAAAAGUGAACUGAAAGGGAUGGUGAAAGAGACCAGUAAACACAAUAGAUCAUUGACAAUCAGCAUUUCAAAAUUAACUAGAACUUCAAAAAUCAUUUCUCAUUUCCCAUCAGUAUCAAAUCACAUAAAAAGAAACUGUCAAAAUAAAAUAUAACAAGGAAAGCAGAUUCAAGAUCCUUGGACAUGUUGGAAUGAUCAUCCCUCCAGUAUGCAAAUGACCUUACCUCACCAGGGUCAAGUCUCUGCUUAAACGUCAUCUUCUUAGUGUGUCUAACCACCUUAUUUGAAACUGCGCCCCCCCACCCUCUCUUAUUCCCCCUCAUUGUUUUCUUUUUUCCGUAAUAUACUCCACCCUCCGAUAUACUAUAUCAUCUACUGAUUUAUUAUCUACCUUCUGCCAGUAAAAUGUAAGCUCGGUAAGGCAGGAAUUUUUGUCUAUUUUGUUCACUGAUAUGAGCCCAUCAAACUAGACAAAAGACCAACCAACUACCUGCUUUCCUAUGAAAAGUGAUUCUCAUUAAAAAGAAUCUUAGAAGUACUCUUAGCAAAGAGCAGCCCAUAUUUGGAUCUUACAUUACAGCUACUUGGUGACUAGAGGGCCCAAGUGAGUUCCCUGAACGACUGAAGCCAAUUAAUUGGGUAUAGGAGAGAACUACUGGUCUCACAAAAUAUGAUUUCAAACUGAUCAUGAUUAAAGAUAAUAGUUAAAAUUAAAUUUACUAUGGCCAAUUAUGCUACUGAUAAUAAUCAGUAUUCCAACUUGUUUAGAACCUGAGUUUUAAUAUUUAAAUAAUUAUACUCAUUAUUUUACACCAGGUACAAGGUCUAGUGAUGCAUUAUAUUUACAAGCAGCUAAGAAGCAUCUAUCUCUAAGUUGAGUGCAACUUACUAAAACCUACAGGUUGCCAUUUAUGUGACUCUAGCGCACAAGCUGCAGGCUAUGAACAUUUAAAUUAUUUCCAAACAGGUAUCAGGGUCUUGUCAAUAACCUUCUGAUACCCAUCAUUUAAAACUACCUAACAAGAGAUGCCUGGGUGGCUCAGUCCGCUAAACAGCUACCUUAAGCUCAGGUCAUGAUCCCAGCUUCCUGGGAUUGAGUUUCACAAUGGGCCCUUUGCUCAGCAGGGAGCCUGCUUCUCCCUCUCCCCCGACGAAUAAACACAUAAAAUCUUUAUAAAUAAAUAAAUAAAACUACCUAACAAAAAAAUAAAUUAAAGCUUGUUAAAAACAAAAACAAAAACUACCUUGGAUGCCUGAGUUACUCAGUCUGUUAAGCAUCUGCCUUCCGUUCAGGUCAUGAUCCUGGAGUCCUGGGAUCAAGUCCGGCAUUGGGCUCCCCACUCAGCAGGGAGUCUGCUCCUCCCUCUGAUCCUGCCCCUUCUCGUGCCCUUUCUCUUCCUCUCUCAAAUAAAUAUAAUCUUAAAAAAAAAAAAAAACUACCUUAACAAGACUCUCAACAUUUUUGACAAUUUGAUAAUUUUUUUCAGCAUGUUCAGACACACACAUAAAUACUGAACUGCUAUAAUGAAAGGUUUGAUAAUGCUUGGAAUGGCUGAUUUCUAAAAUCUAUUUAACCUUUCACUUUAAUACUUCAGGAAUUACUCAUUCCCAAGCAUAAGAGAAAUUCAAAAGGUCAUUUCUAUGUUUCAGCUUCUGCUCAUGAAAGCUCAUUUCUGCUCUUUAUUUUUGCUGAUUAGAAUUUAUUUAUAUGCUUGGACUGCAAUACAAUCUGUUCUCAGUUUAAUAACUAUACAUGAAGAGGACUCGUAUAUUUCAAUCCAAAAAGUUGGGAUGCCAGGUAAACACAGGAUUUUAGUACUUCUAAAAACCAACAAGCCUUAAACAGACCUUGGGAAAUACAUAGUAAUACAUAGUAGACAGUCAAUAAGCAAAGGCUGUUAAUGAUGAAUGACAUUUAAACCAUAAAAUUUAAGUGCUUAGAGGAACUUUGGAGAUCUGACUACACUUUUAUUGUGACACUAGAUUUCAAAGUGACAGGAUAUCACCCUUCCUUUGUAAUAGUAAAAAAUUGUGGUUGCUCAGUUAUAUCAGCUGGAAGCCAAACUUCUGAUAUCCCACUUGUACACAUUACAUUCUUUGAGAGUGAGGUUCCUACCACACCAGCAUCCAGGCAGAGUGGCAAACCUAAACCAACUAAGCUAUUUUGUCUAAUCGGUUUAGUGCCUCUUCCACAGCGAAUGCUUUCUGGUGAGCAUAAAUAGGUCACACCAUGUUCUUCACACUUUGUGCCUGUUCCUGUAUAUCCAUCCUUUUGCCUCUACCUCAGACCUCCCUAUCUCCAAUCUUCCAGUCAUUUUCCUUCCACUCCCAUGACAGGGCCAGCCAAGGCCAUUCACCACUACCAAUGAACGCAUAUAUAUGCCAACCUCAGACCACUUACCUUAUCUCACAAACUGGAUGGUGAGGUGCAUCAAACCAAAGCCAUGCCCGUUAGGAUGGUUUUCCCACACCACUGUCAUACAAGGCCAGCCCUAAGUGAAACUGUAAUGCAACCCACCAUCCAUUUCCACCCUGCGCCAAUAUACUAUGCUGUUCUACCCAUAAACCAAGCCUGGGUCGUCUCCUCCUCCCUUUGGUACCCGGUAACCAUGAUGAACAAUAUGGGAAUUUGGGCUACCUUUUCACACACUUACUGAUGCUCUCUGAUCUUAUUUGUGCUUGGUUCCAAAUGUAACAGUUCAUCACAUGUAAAAUUACUGCUGAUCUUGAUGAACUCUGACUUGGUAGGUCCAAGAGGACCCAACUCAUGAUGCAUGGUCACUUGGUGUCUCAUGGCCAAGAGUUCUAUCUCUAUCAGGGCUCGGUACACUUGAAGCCAUUUUUCAAAAGAUGCAUAAUUCCUGCUGUAGAUAACAUGGCCCUGCUCCCAAACCCUAAGGGUUGGCACUGUAAUUUUCCCAUGGGGACUUGUCCCACAUCGCAUCUUUUCUCAUCAGUGACACCUGAAAUAUCAUUGGGUCUGCCAGAGUAUAUGGUCUAAGCAAGAGGGUUACUUGUGUCACAGAUGGGACCUGGCACCUGGACGGACUUCAAGAUGUGGACCCUGUAGUUGUACAGAGCCUCACUCUCAGAAGGUCCCCAUGCUUGGCUUAUGCUUUGUGGUGACCAACUUGAAAUUAUUAACAAUUUUAUCUUUGAACUUGUGUUUUGAAAAUAAAGUCCAAUGGGACAUGUGCAGGAGCAGAAGAGAUAAACCAGGACAAAGGAGUACAGUAAGCAGGAGUCAUGCCCGAAGCACUUGUCACAUGCUCAUGCCUCAGGGAAGUCAGGGAGUCUCAAGGCCCCACCGUGGCCAGGAAAAGACCAAAGCCCAGACUGAUGGCAGCAACAGCAGAAAGAACACUGGAGAAGCAGCAGCGGUGGCAACAGCAAUAGGAAGAGAAAGGGGCUCUACACAAGACCAGUGCUGGGACCUGUUGUGGGGGGUCUCCAUCUGCUCCCCAAAUCCCAGCUUUGUGAUAUUUGCACAAAUCUUUUGAAAGCUACAGUGGGAACUGCUGGCUUUCAGGUAAUACUUUUUGUCAGUAAAUUAUUACAAGAUAAAAGCACACACAUGAACACUGAAAUAAAGCAAAUCAGAGAAUUAUUUGAAUUAUUAGAAUUUAGAGUUUAGACUUCUCCAAAGACUUCAGAAAACUUCCGCAACAUGGGAGAUCAAAUAUCCACAAGCUUAUAAAUAGAAAAUAAUACCAUUUUCAUGUGAAACUCCAGAUGAACCAAUUAUUAAUGAUGAAAACAACUUAAUUAAUUUUUCCUUGUAACUGAAGAUGCAGUGAUAGAAUGAAUAUACAGGCACCUUCAAUUACUAUAUUAAAGUUUGAAGAAGCCACUUGAGGUUUCUUGCACACCCUCCACAAGCUACAGGAAAUACCAAAGGAAACGUCACAAUGUAACUAUUAUAUCAGUGAUAAUGUUACAAUUAUAAAAUUAUAGUAAUUUAUGAUUUACAUUUAAAAUUGAAUUCAUAUCUAAAUAAAACUGAUCCAUAGGAAGAUUUACAUGUAUUUAUUUUAUUUUUUUAAAGAUUUUACUUAUCUAUUUGAGAGAGAGUGAGAGAGAUCACAGAGGUAGAAGGAGAAGCAGACUCACUGCUGAGCAGGGAGCCCAAAGCAGGGCUCAAUCCCAGGACCCUGAGAUCAUGACCUGAGCUUAGAUCAAGAGCCAGAUGCUCAACAGACUGAGCCACUCAGGCACCCCAAGAUUUACAGAUUUUUAGAAAAAUUAUUCCACAAGAAUGAUCAGUUCCACAAAUCCUAAAAUUUCUAUUUGGAAAUAAUCCAUCAAAAAUUUAUCCCUUUGGGGGACACCGGGGUAGCUCAGUUAUUAGGUGUCUGCCUUCAGCUCGGGUCAUGAUUCUGGGGUUCUGGGAUGGAGUCCCACAUUGGGCUCCCGGCUCAGCGGGAAGCCUGCUUCUCUCUCUCCCACUCUUGUGUUCCCUCUUGUGCUGUCUCUCUAUGUGUAGGAGGCCACGUUAAGGCUUGAGACAAGGACCAAGCCAGGCCCUGACUUGUGCCUCCGUUAAAGGCUGAAUAGCCGAACAAAAGGCUUAGGUCAAUAAAGUCGAGUAGCACUGAGAAAGGGUCUGUGCUAUAUGUUGCGCUCUCGCCUACGUGACUUCCCACACGUUUGCUAGUCAGAUAGAGACGAUUUGGCCGGGGUCAGAAAUUCUUGUCUGGUCCUUGCUGUCCUUGCACGGGCUAUAGACCACACCACUGUAAGACUGUGCUGUGCUUACACAAACUAUGUCUUGACUGGCCUUGAAGUCAGUACGUCUGGCGCUGGAAGGUCUGCUAUUAGGGCUUGGGAAAUAGAUAAUGGGAAAGCUUGAAAGAUUUUCUGUGCAUGUUGCAAACUCUUUAGUAAUCAGCUAAAAAUAGAUACUUUUCUUAUGGUUGUUUCUGUUAGGUAUAUAAUGCCGCACAACCUUGAAUAAACUCGGCACUAUUGGACAUCCUCCUUGGUGCUCCUCCUGUCCCCAUCUCUUUGUCUCUUCAUUUCUUUUCACCAUUCUCUUACCCUCACAUUCCUGGUCGAUUUGUUGCACCGGCCACGCGACAGGGGACCUGAGCACAUUCAGGAAGUGCGCACUUAUAGAGGACGUGGUUUUGUUUGUGUUUUCCCGCAGGAUGAGGACACCCCACGCUGGAUGCCAGAGAGACGAUGCCAACUCCUUGCCCCUGUGGCAACGAAUUGCAACACUGACCCUGAGUCGGAGAAAUCAGUGGAGGAGAAGAAGAUGUCUCCCCCCUUACAGGAGAGGGAUGUUUCAUGCAGAACUCUGGAAACUGGUUGCUGCGCUGGGACCAAUCGGAGUGCAAAUAGCCAGGAGUCGUUACACUGCCACAAAGGACUUCAAUCUGACUUUGUGGGCUGUAUUCCUAGACCUUUUUUACUGGUAGUGGGCUCGGGAUCAAUAGUUCUCACCUCUUUCCAAGGGGGACAUCUAUUGUGUAAUAUCCAUUGUGACCACUGUGUUUUAACAAGUUGUCUACCUGUAUCCCUGCCUUUGUCAGGCACAGGUCCCAUGAUAGUGUUUAUAACUAUGCAACCCCCCUUAUGUACUCUUACCCGUAGAUGUAGAAGGACCUUGGUAUGCUGAUUAUGGUUAUCAGUUUGCCCUUAAAAGGCAGUUGCAGCUCAAACAAGUCAAAAGUCUUCCGGGUCUAUUGAUAGCAGGAAUAGCAGCACUAGUAACACUCAUUCUGGUUGUUUACUGAACUCCUCAUUAUAUUACUUGCUUUUGUUUUAAUAUGGUGCAUUGUACAGAUUCAUGCAGAACAGCAACGACUACACACUCAAGCACAAAUUCAUAUGCUUAAUUUAUUUAAAAAGGAAAGGGGAAAUGUGGGAGGCCAUAUUAAGGCUUGAGACAAGGACCAAACCAGGCCCUGACUUGUGCCUCCGUUAAAGGCUGAAUCGCUGAACAAAAGGCUUAGGUCAAUAAAGUCGAGUACCACUGAGAAAGGGUCUGUGCUAUAUGUUGUGCUCUCGCCUACGUGACUUCCCACACGUUUGCUAGUCAGAGACGAUUUGGUUGGGGUCAGAAAUUCUUGUCUGGUCCUUGCUGUCCUUGCACGGGCU